rnacentral:lncRNA from 1 species
AGCGCGUGCCCGCCCGGCGCCCUCUAGGGUGGAAGGCUGCGGGCGUCCUACCAGUGCCAGGACUGCCAGAGCGGGAGGAGCGCGGCGCGGGCCAGCCGGGACUGCUGGACAGCGGGGUCCAGGCUAGAGGCGAGCGAGCGGUCAGUGACGGCUGUGGAGGAGGGAGGCGCUGGGCGUCAGCGCGGGACCCGAGCCUCUGGACCACUGAGCUGGGGGGCUGGCUGAGGUCCACCUCCUAACAAAUUAUUGGAAGGAAUAUGAGAAAAAAAUGCAGAGUCUCACUGUGUUGCUCAGGCAGGUCUCUAGACUCCUGGACUCAAGCCAUCCUCCUGCCUCUGCCUCUCAAAGUGCUGAGAUUACAGGUGUGAGCCACUGCGCUCAGGUUAAAGUAGACAAGUGUCACUAUGUUGCCCAGGCUGGAGUCAAACUCCUGGUCUCAAGCGAUCCUCCUGGCUCGGCCUCCCACAGUGCUGGGAUUACAGAUGGAGUUUCACUCUUGUCACCCAGGCUGGAGUGCAAUAGAGCGAUCAUGGCUCACUGCAACCUCUGCCCCCCGGGUUCAAGCGAUUCUCCUGCCUCAGCCUCUCAAGUAGCUGGGAUUACAAGUGCCCACCACCACGCCCAGCUAAUUUUUGUAUUUUUAGUAAAGAUGGGGUUUCACCACAUUGGCCAGGCUGGUCUCUAACUCCUGACCUCACGUGAUUCAUCCAUCUCAGCCUCCCAAAGUGCUGGGAUUACAGGCAUGAGCCACUGUGCCUGGCCUAUACUUAUAUUUUCUUCUGUGAUUUUAAUAUUUUAGUGUUUAUGUUUUGGUCUAUGAUCCAUUUUGAGUAAAUUUUUAUAUUUGGUAUAAGGUAGGGGUCCAACUUUAUUUAUUUUUGAGAUGGAGGCUUACUCUAUUGCCCAGGCAGGCAUGCAAUGGUGCGAUCCAGCUCACUGCAACCUCUGUGUCCCAGGCUCAAGUGAUUCUCCCACCUCAGCCAUCUGAGUAGCUCGGAUUACAGGCCCCAUCACUAUGGUAAUUUUUAAAUUUUUAGUAGAGACGGGGUUUCACCAUGUUGGCCAGGCUGGUCUCGAACUCAUGACCUCAAGUGAUCUGCCCGCCUCUGCCCUACAAAGUGCUGGGAUUACAGGCGUGAGCCACCGUGCCUGGCCUCCAGCUUUAUUCUUUUUUUUUUUUUUUUUUUGAGACAGAGUCUUGUUCUGUCACCCAGGCUGGAGUGCUGGAGUGCAGUGGCGCGAUCUCGGCUCACUGCAAGCUCCGCCUCCUGGGUUCACGCCAUUCUCCUGCCUCAGCCUCCCGAGUAGCUGGGACUACAGGCGCCUGCCACCACGCCUGGCUAAUUUUUUGUAUUUUUAGUAGAGAUGGGGUUUCUCCAUGUUAGCCAGGAUGGUCUCGAUCUCCUGACCUCGUGGUCUGCCUGCCUCGGCCUCCCAAAAGUGCUGGGAUUACAGGCGUGAGCGACCAUGCCCGGCCAACUUUAUUCUUUUAGAUGUGGAUGUCUAGUUGUUCCAGAAGUAUCUGUUAAAAAUGUUACUCUUUCUCCAUUGGAUUAUUUUGGCAACCUUAUAAACAAUCAAUUGACCAUAAAUGUAUGGAUUUAUUUCUGGAUUGUCAGAUCUAUUCCAGUGAUCUAAAUGUCUGUCCUUAUGCCAGUACCAUAGAGUCUUGAUUACUAUAGCUUCAUGGUAAGUUUUCAAAUCAAGAAGUGUGAGUGCUCCAAAUUUGUUUUUAUUUUUCAAGAUUAUUUUGGCUGUUCUGGCUUCUUUGGAUUUUCAUAUGUAUUUUAGGGUCAGCCUUUCAGCUGGGCAUGGUGGCUCACGCUUGUAAUCCCAGCACUUUGGGAGGAGUUCAAGAUUAGCAUGACAAAAUCCCAUCUCUACAAAACAAAAAACAAAACAAAAGAAACAUUAGCCAGGCUUGGUGGCAUGUGCCUGUGGUCCCAGCUACUCAGGAAGCUGAGUAGCUUCCCGAGGCAGGAAGAUCACUUGAGACCAGGAGGUGGAGGUUUCAGUGAGCUGAGAUCGUGCCACUGUACUCCAGCCUGGGUAAUGGAGACAGACCCUGUCUGAAAACAAAAAAAUUUUUUAAAUAGGCUUUUGUUUUUUAUUUUAUUUAAUUUUUGACACAGGGUCCACUCUGUAGCUCAGGCUGGAGUGCAGUCGUGUGAUCUCAGCUCCCUGCAUCCUCCGCCUUUUGGGUUCAAGCAGUCCUCCCGUCUCAGCCUCCCGAGUAGCUGGGACUUACAGGCGUGUGUCACCACACCCAGCUAAUUUUUGUAUUUUUAGUAGAGGUGACCAUAUUGGCCAGGCUGGUCUUGAACUGACUUCAGGUGAUCUUCCUGCCUCAGCCUCCCAAACCCAAAGUGCUGGGAUUACAGGUGUGAGCCACUGUGCUCAGCCUGUUAAUUUUUUUUUUUUUUUUUUUUUUGAGACGGAGUCUCACUCUGUCACCUAGGUUGGAAUGCAGUGGUGCCAUCUUGGCCUCACUGCAACCUCCACCUCCCAGGUCCAAGGGAUUCUCCUGCCUCAGCCUCCCAAGUAGCUGGGGUUACAGGCACGUGCCACCAUGCCUGGCUAAUCUUUUGUAUUUUUAGUAGAGAUGGGGUUUCACCGUGUUAGCCAGGACGAUCUCGAUCUCCUGACCUCAUGAUCUGCCUGCCUCGGCCUCCCAAAGUGCUGGAAUUACAGGCAUGAGCCACUGACCCUGGCCCAGGAGUAUUGCUUUAACAAUAUAAGGUUUUCUGAUUUAUAAACAAGAAUGUCUUUCCAUUUAUUUAGGUCCUUAAUUUCUUCCAACAGUCUUUUCUAGUUUUCAAUGUACAAGUUUUUUGCGCUUCUGUUACAUUUAUUCCUGGCCGGGCACGGUGGCUCCGCCUGUAAUCCCAACACUUUGGGAGGCCAAGGCAGGCGGAUCACCUGAGGUCAGGAGUUUGAAACCAGACUGAACAACAUGCAGAAACCC